UAUGGUUUUGACAAUUUUGUCUCUUUGAUUGAGAAAGUGAAAUUGUUGUUAAAUGUUUUAAAGAGAUUUAACCGUUUACAUCAGCAAAAAUGUUCAGCCUUGGUGAGCAAAAUUGUCAGCACGUUUUAUGAGAUGGGUGUAUAUUUCUUCUUUCAGGUAACACGAAGAUUACAAGUUUACUAAGAAUUUCAGGGGAGACGAAUGAGUUCAUGAAGGAUGACCACCUCACGAAACCAAGGAUAAAUAUCAACACCCACCACGCCCAUCUCUUGAAGGAAUUCUUAAGUGGUUGUAAAAACUGUCUACCUCGCGGUAACAUCUUGCUAUACGCAUGUGUCUUAAGACAGAUGUUUGGUUACAAAAAUGCAUGCGUUUGAAAUAAAAGUCACUACCACAAGUUAGACAACUUUUAAAAAGAAUUUAAAAAAUGGACCCCAGAGGUGGGUGUGGUGGGGGAGGCUGAAUGGAGAAAAAAAAAACUGUAUCAAAUAAUUGUAAUAUUACUGUAUUAUAUGAUUGUUAGAGAAAGAUUGUAAUAUUACCAUUGUAAUACAUAUUAAAAGAUUGUAUGGUAAUUAUUUACUGUAGUGCUAGUAUAUUAAAAGAUUUUUGUACCCCUUAUGAAAACUGACCAAAUGUGGCGGGUAUGGGGAGAGGUGGUGGACGGGUAGAUAAGUGUUAUAAACUUUCUAAUAGAGGGGGGUGUGGCGGAUGGUGGACGGAUCGACCCCCAAUUUUUCAUUUUAUUCCCUGAAUUGGGAGUCGAUCCAAUUUUGAUUUCUUUCCAAGAUUUAUAUUUGUCGCUGGUAUAAUUCUUAGGGUGAUCGUGUUCCUUGGUAUCAGCUUUGGGUGGUCGAAGAAACC